ensembl:lncRNA
CGCAGAUUUAGAGCCUCAUUUAUCAAUACCACUGACUGAGGAAUUCUUGAAAGUUUUAUUAAGCUAUUUAUUGACCACCCUGAGAAGUGCCCUAUUAUAAAUGAAUUUUGAGAAAACGCUAUUUCUUUUGUGAGUACAGGGAUACGUCGAAAUAAUCAUUGUCGCUGGUAAUCACACUUGCGCUUACACUUACCGCACACAGAUCAGGCUGAAAAUGAUAAAGAGUACUCCUUUAAUUUAACUUCUCAAUCACAAACUCUUGGGGAACGCGAUGAAACAUCUGAGAUGUGUGUGUGCGUGUGUGUGUACUUGAUCUAACACCUACUUCUCCCCUCUUCUUUGCUGCCAGUGCUGGCAGAAUGUAUUAAAGUUUGAUAAGGUUUGGACACAGGGUCUUCUUUCAUCUCUCUCCCUCUCUUCCUGGGUCACCUAAGAACUGCCAAAAAAAAAAAAAAAAACUAAACUAAAAACUCCAACGCUCGGCUCAAGCUUAUUCAAACGCUGCGUUUUUUUCAAUUCUUCCACUCGGAGUCUACGAAGACCUUUAUACACUAAGCCACUGUCUUUCUUCAAACCUGAAGAGGGGAUCGGUCUGCUUGCUAAGAUAAAUUGCCUUUGCUGCUGUUGAAACUCUGAGGAACCACUGACAUUUUUAUUGAAUAAAUGCUAUUCAUUCAGAUUUGGUGUACGGUUUGCAUAAGUAGCCACAAGCCGGACACCUGCCUGGCUAACUGUAAAAGCUCCAGUCUACACGUAGACAUCAGAGCUGCUGAGGCUGCUUUACGAAUUGCCAUGUCCUUCUUACUAAUCCUCAACCAUGUGCCACUGGAUACUGAAUGGGAAAUGCCAGCCACACAGAGUGUCAUGCAUCACAGGGUGCGUUGGAAAAUCCUAUAGAGGAAUAUAAUCUCUUUCACUGUAAGCACUCCAGCUGGCCGUGAUAGCCAGUACUGCCCAGGGACUGCAGAGUGCCAAGCUGGCAGAGGGAGGGCAGCUCUGGGGCAGAGAGGACUGGCAGCUCCAGGCCUCCAGGGGGGACAGAGGAGCAGUAAGCCCAUGGAGCAGUAACCUGCCCCCUGGGGGGAGAAGGGGAGGAGAUCUCAGCUGGGUGGAGAACUCAGCCUGCCUCUCGAGGGCAUCUCGCUGCUCUUGCUACAUUGCUGUCAUCUUGACCCACUGACUGCCCGUCGAUCCUGGCACCGUGCCAAGCUGUAAUGGCAGGCCGCACACAAAGGCACUCUGCCAGUGUCCUGCUGCAAGUCUGUGACUGGCAAUGAAUAUAAAACAGCUAUGUGUGUGUGUAUGUGUGUGUGUGUGUGUGUGUGUGUAUUCUCAGACUGUUUGUGUCUUAGUCCAUUAAUCCAGCUAGACUAGAUAUCUGUGUAUGUCAAUGUGAAUGGCAGUGUGAGCCAAUGUUUAGUAGGUUUGGGAAUUUUGGUAUCUACAUUAGAUAUUAGAUUUAUUUUCCUUCCCGGAAGACUAAAGUCGAUGUUAUACCGGAGCAGUUGUGCCUAGCUGAAUAUAAAAAGUUCUGUCAUAAGCAUACGCUCCAUAGCAACGUAUCAAACUUUCCUCACAGUGCUCUACAAUGUCUGAGAUGUUCUGCACCGACGUAUUUGAAUUAAGCUAAUCUCUACCACUCGCUUUUUUU